UUAUAUUCUUACCUCGAACGGAGAGGCGCGUAGGGUAUCUCCUGGGGUAAAGCUUAGGGUUCACUUCACACCAAACCACCACGUGAAGGGGAACUCAGCCAACGCCAAGGAACGGCUGUAUUUUUCUCAAACUAAAAAUAUAUUUUAAGUGUAUACGAAAUUUUAACAGCCUUGGCGGACUCGGUUGGAUGCCCUGCGCAAGGUAUCACCGAGUAUAAGUUUUGGCACGAGCCAAAGUUUUAAGAAAUUCAUAAGCCAAGUUGAUUACUCGAUUUAUAUGGAUUGAUUUUAUUUGGUUGAAAUGAACUGAAAGGUAAUGAAAUUGCAGUAUGAUGACUUAUUUUAAUUGUCUCCAUUUACUCGGCUUUAGAUACUUUAGAUGGUAUCUGUUUACUCACUGGGAUUAUAAAAUCUCACCCCUUCUUCCUAUACAUUUUUCAGGCUUAGGACAGUUUGUAGAUAGUCGAGUAGGACGAGAACUAAGCUCGGAACUGUAUUAUAGAAAGUAAGAGUUCACAGUCUUACAUCCUCUUGGUCAAUUGGAGCCCACGUGUCAUUACAGAUCAAAACUUAUAUUUUGGUUAUCUUUAUUUCUAUUCAUACAAUUUUUACUUUACUUUCAUGUGCGAAAAAUUAU
rnacentral:lncRNA from 1 species